rnacentral:rRNA from 1 species
AACGAACGCUGGCGGCAUGCCUAACACAUGCAAGUCGAACGAGACCUUCGGGUCUAGUGGCGCACGGGUGCGUAACGCGUGGGAACCUGCCCUUAGGUUCGGAAUAACUCCCCGAAAGGGGUGCUAAUACCGGAUAAUGUCUUCGGACCAAAGAUUUAUCGCCUUUGGAUGGGCCCGCGUUGGAUUAGCUAGUUGGUAGGGUAAAAGCCUACCAAGGCGACGAUCCAUAGCUGGUCUGAGAGGAUGAUCAGCCACACUGGGACUGAGACACGGCCCAGACUCCUACGGGAAGCAGCAGUGGGGAAUAUUGGACAAGGGGCGAAAGCCUGAUCCAGCAAUGCCGCGUGAGUGAUGAAGGCCGUAGGGAUGUAAAGCUCUUUUACCCGGGAUGAUAAUGACAGUACCGGGAGAAUAAGCUCCGGCUAACUCCGUG